AAAAAACAAUUCAGGGACAAUGAUUCAUUUAUAUAUUUGUAUUAAAAUCCAAUGAUUUAUUUUUCAGUCCUUGUAAUUUGCUUAGCAAAAUACUUAAGAACCUAACUUCAGUCGGUGCACUCAGUUCAUAAGGCUUUUGGAGCAAGCUCCUGAAUACUGUUCUCUUGGGCCAGGAAACAGGGGUGUCUGAGCUUGUGUGCUAUGUUUGAGCUAGCAUACCCUCCCUUUAACGCUCAUAUCCUGGGAAAGAGCUCCUAAUAGUACUAUAAAUUAUAGUGCAACUUAGGCUUUUUUCUUUUGUUGAGGCACCAGGAGUUACUUGUGGGUGCUUGUUCAUUGUUUUCUCUCCUAUGAGUUUUGACUCGAAAAUUUUCAACACUUAAACAUCAGAAAUCAUAUAAACAUAAGAAGAAAGAAUGUUGUUGGCUGUUUGCUAGAUCAAAUAUCUAGUCUAUUGAAAGUCAAGACUCAUACUUCAUAUACACGCACAUGGACAGUUCUUGUGCCUAACAGUAAUAUCUGUCGCUCA
rnacentral:misc_RNA from 1 species